rnacentral:rRNA from 1 species
GUGAACGCUGGCGGUAGGCCUCACACCUGCAAGUCGCACGGCAGCACAGUAAGAGCUUGCUCUUACGGGUGGCGAGUGGCGGACGGGUGAGGAAUACAUCGGAAUCUACUUUUUCGUGGGGGAUAACGUAGGGAAACUUACGCUAAUACCGCAUACGACCUACGGGUGAAAGCAGGGGAUCUUCGGACCUUGCGCGAUUGAAUGAGCCGAUGUCGGAUUAGCUAGUUGGCGGGGUAAAGGCCCACCAAGGCGACGAUCCGUAGCUGGUCUGAGAGGAUGAUCAGCCACACUGGAACUGAGACACGGUCCAGACUCCUACGGGAGGCAGCAGUGGGGAAUAUUGGACAAUGGGCGCAAGCCUGAUCCGGCCAUACCGCGUGGGUGAAGAAGGCCUUCGGGUUGUAAAGCCCUUUUGUUGGGAAAGAAAAGCAGCAGGUUAAUACCCCGCUGUUCUGACGGUACCCAAAGAAUAAGCACCGGCUAACUUCGUG